AAAAUACUCAUUUGCCUAAUAAUUCUGCACUCCCUGUAGAAGAAACAGAUCGAGGAAGCAACAGUUGAGCAAACAAAGAAUGCAUUGUGGUCAGCAUAUCGCAAGAAGAGAAUCACAGCCAGCAACUUUGGUUUGGUCCUGGGUGCAGUCCAGAGGCGCUCAUACCCUCCUUCCUUAUUUAAGACUCUGCUUGGCCAGUACAACCUGACAGAAGGAUGUAAAGCAUGUGAUUGGGGGAUCCUUCAUGAGCCAAAGGCCAAGCAACUGUACACUGACUGUACUGGUGCAGCUAUCAAGGAGAGGGGACUGUUUUUAUCCAACAGUGGCCUGCUUGAUGGUUCUCCAGAUGGUAGAGUCUCUAAUGACUGCAUCAUUGAGGUGAAAUGCACCAUAGUCAGCCAGAACCAAAACUGUUUUGCAGGCAGCAGAAAGUAAGGACUUUUUCUUACAGCUGGACGAGACAAGUUGUUCCUUGGUAUUAAAAAAAAAAUCACAACUACUGGCAUCAGAUCCAGGGCAACCUAUAUCUCAUGAGGCCGAAAAGCUCUCACUUUAUUAUUUGGACUCCAUGUGACUUUGUAAUCUUGCCUGUCAAUAAAGAACAAACUUGGGCUGUUAAUGACACCAUGUACUUUUAC